GUAGGUGGCAAGCGUUGUCCGGAAUUAUUGGGGCGUAAAGCGCGCGCAGGCGGUUCUUUUAAGUCUGAUGUGAAAGCCCACGGGCUCAACCGUGGAGGGUCAUUGGAAACUGGAGAACUUGAGUACAGAAGAGGAAAGCGGAAUUCCACGUGUAGCGGUGAAAUGCGUAGAGAUGUGGAGGAACACCAGUGGCGAAGGCGGCUUUCUGGUCUGUAACUGACGCUGAGGCGCGAAAGCGUGGGGAGCAAACAGGAUUAGAUACCCUGGUAGUCCACGCCGUAAACGAUGAGUGCUAAGUGUUAGGGGGUUUCCGCCCCUUAGUGCUGCAGCUAACGCAUUAAGCACUCCGCCUGGGGAGUACGGCCGCAAAGGCUGA
rnacentral:rRNA from 1 species